rnacentral:rRNA from 1 species
UAAGCGUGAAGUGGCCGCCUGGGGAGUACGUCGCAAGAUUAAAANUCAAAGGAAUUGACGGGGACCCGCACAAGCGGUGGAUGAUGUGGAUUAAUUGGAUGCAACGCGGAAAAACCUUACCUACCCCUGACAUGUCACUAACGAAGUAGAGAUACAUUAGGUGCCCGUAAGGGAAAGUGAACACAGGUGCUGCAUGGCUGUCGUCAGCUCGUGUCGUGAGAUGUUGGGUUAAGUCCCGCAACGAGCGCAACCCUUGUCUUUAGUUGCUACGCAAGAGCACUCUAAAGAGACUGCCGGUGACAAACCGGAGGAAGGUGGGGAUGACGUCAAGUCCUCAUGGCCCUAAUGGGUAGGGCUUCACACGUCAUACAAUGGUGCAUACAGAGGGUUGCCAACCCACGAGGGGGAGCUAAUCUCAGAAAAUGCAUCGUAGUCCGGAUCGUAGUCUGCAACUCGACUACGUGAAGCUGGAAUCGCUAGUAAUCGCGGAUCAGAAUGUCGCGGUGAAUACGUUCCCGGGUCUUGUACACACCGCCCGUCACACCAUGGGAGUGGGUUUUGCCAGAAGCCGUUAGCCUAACCGCAAGGAGGGCGACUGCCACGGCAGGGUUCAUGACUGGGUGAAGUCGUAACAAGGU